rnacentral:lncRNA from 1 species
GGCCUCAGAAGCUCUGCUAUCCACAGGCAGGUGGGAUAUUACCUUCCCUACCGCCUGGCAGUCAUAGUCUAUGAUGUGAUUCAGCUUUGUGGAAGUGCUUCUCUAAAGAACAUCCCCCAAUUUAAGAUGAUCUUAAUUUGCUUACUUGUUUACUGUCCAUUUAGCUGCUCUAAAAUGUGAGCUCCAAAUCAGGGGUCAUGUCUGGUUGGUUACCCAUUUCCUGGGUCCUAGAACGGGCCUAGCUCAGAGCAGGUGCUCACUAUUGAUGGAAUGCUUGUUGAAAGAAUGCAUGAAUCUCAUCUCCUUUUGUGGGUGAAAAACUCAUCCUAUUCUCAUUCCUGAUUAACUUUCUUUCUUUUUCUUUUUUUUUUCAAAAGGGAGCCAUGAUCUGUCACCCAGGUGGAGUGCAAUAGUGUGAUCUUAGCUCCCUGCAACCUCUGCCUUCUGGAUUAAAGAAAUUCUGCUGCCUCAGCCUCCCAUGUAGCUGGGAUUACAGGUAGAAGUUGCUGGCCCCAUCUUGCUCACAAUCCUCCAAAGUUUGAAAGUUAUUUUCCAGGAGACUUGGCUUGCACUGAGAGUUGUCCUCCCACCCUCUCUCCAAAUUUCCUCUUGGGGGUAGCCUAACAAGGUACUGUCACAGACCCUUGCCAGCCACGAUGACCCCACCCAGACCAUCCCUCUGCUGUUUCACUCUUUGUUCCUCUCUGGAGCUCUCUGGGGAAGGGU